ACGCGCUCCCCGCGGCGCCGGCGCUGGCGUCCGUCGCUCCAGGGCCCUGCCCGUCUGCUCCGCGGGGACGCUCCUCAGCCGCUUCUAUGUUUCCCGUUCCUAUUUCUAAAACGCCAUUCGGGCACACCAUGUUUAGCUGCCAAGUAAUCGAAUUUACCCUUCUACACUGAAUUAUGGAUGACUUCCGGGAAAAUGUAAAAUAAUGUGGAAUAAAUGGAAAGAAUGAAAUAGAAUAGAAACUAAGAUGACCUCAGCAAAAUGGCAUUCUAUUUUUUUUAUUUUGGUUUGCCAUAUUUGAGGCAGUUAACUGUCGUAUGCAUAUUUCAUUGUGAUCGUCUACUGAUAAAUAGCACACGAAAAUAAUCUUGCUCAAUCAGGUUUUAUUUGGUUUAAUAGCUACAGGAGGUGAAACUCAUGUUACUUCCUGCCUUAAAGGAACCUGAGGUCUUCAAAGAAAAUGGGCUUUUAUGAAGAAAACCACCUUUUCACGUUUCAUGUGUUCUCUGCAGUGUCCCUAGUGCAACCUGCUGAUCCGGAGUGUAAAGUACAGUUCAUGACUUUGCUUUUGCUACAGAUCAAGAAUUCACAUAGGCUUCUUAGACAACAGAGAUGGGUGCAAGGCUGCCAAUUCCACUAA
rnacentral:lncRNA from 1 species